GGACCGGUAGCUUAGUCCGGUUUAAAGCGCCUCCCUGUCACGGAGGAGAUCACGAGUUCGAAUCUCGUCCGGUCCGCCA
rnacentral:tRNA from 3 species